rnacentral:lncRNA from 1 species
AUGGUUCUUGCGCUUUUUGUGUCUCACCAAAAUCAAGACUCAGGUCAUGUGCAUGUUUAUCAAGCAAACACCUUUUUUUUUUUUUUUCCAGAAAAUAAAAACGCCCUGGAAGACAAGUGUAAUGCAUUGAGGUCUGUGAAAGCCACAAAGGAAGCAAAAGUCAAACAGCUGAAGGAGAAAGCACAUAACCUAGAAGAAUUCUAUGAACGAAGAAAAGUGCCUACAAAAAAGGCAGUCUGGAUCCUGGGGACCUCCUCCGUUAACUGGAUGAUUCUGCAUGCCCCACCCCCAUGGACUAUUAGGCACGUCCACCUCCUGAACCUUGGUGGCCCUGGGGCCACCCGGAACCCCUCCACCUGCAACACUUGGUGAAAAACUCCCAUAAGGAAUCAUGAGACAAAGUACCAAUUACAACUGCUCCCGGGACACAAGAGAACCUACUCCUAUAAACACAACUGGAGAACUCUGUGAGGUACUGGCCCUGCAAGUAAUCACUGAUUCUCUGCAGUUCCACGUACAUUUUUUAUUACACAUGCCGCUUCUGAAAAUUCAGAGUAUUUCCACCUGGGGGACAACUGGAGAAAUUCUCUAUCGUACAUUUGCCAACACAGAAGGACCAGUAAUGAAUUCUGAAAUUUUUCUAAGAACCCUCAGCACUGCACAAACCACACAAUAUAAUGUUGGAAAGAGUUUUUAUCAAUUCCAGUCAUGAGGCUCAUAGCAGACAUUCUGAACACAUUCAUGGCCUACACUGAAAUAGGAAAAAAUGAAAAUAAUCAGGAUAAUCCCGUGUAAAGAAGGUGUGGAAGGAGUCAGACGCUCCAGAAGACUUGAGGGUGCAGUGAAGUGUCAUCCUCCUCAAGUUAUUUCCACAAACACUAAGUGAGAGCCACGUGGUCCUCAGUCUCUAUGCACUUGUGGCGUCCAGAGGCACUAGCUAACAUGAUGAUGUUACAUUGGAGAAGCCUGGAGGCUUGUGAGGACAUAAAUCAAACGGUAAAGACACCAGAAGGCCAAAAACAAAAAACAAAAAACAAAAAACAAAAAACAAAAAACAAAAAACAAAAAACAAAAAACAAAAAACAAAAAACAAAAAACAAAAAACAAAAAACAAAAAACAAAAAACAAA